UACAGAGGGUGCGAGCGUUAAUCGGAAUUACUGGGCGUAAAGCGCGCGUAGGCGGCUUUGCAAGUCGGGUGUGAAAUCCCCAGGCUUAACCUGGGAACUGCAUUCGAGACUGCAUUGCUAGAGUAUGGGAGAGGGAAGUGGAAUUUCCGGUGUAGCGGUGAAAUGCGUAGAUAUCGGAAGGAACAUCAGUGGCGAAGGCGGCUACCUGGCUUGACACUGACACUGAGGCGCGAAAGCGUGGGGAGCAAACAGG
rnacentral:rRNA from 1 species